AUUGAACGCUGGCGGCAGGCCUAACACAUGCAAGUCGAGCGGAUGAAGGGAGCUUGCUCCUGGAUUCAGCGGCGGACGGGUGAGUAAUGCCUAGGAAUCUGCCUGGUAGUGGGGGAUAACGUCCGGAAACGGGCGCUAAUACCGCAUACGUCCUGAGGGAGAAAGUGGGGGAUCUUCGGACCUCACGCUAUCAGAUGAGCCUAGGUCGGAUUAGCUAGUUGGUGGGGUAAAGUCCUACCAAGGCGACGAUCCGUAACUGGUCUGAGAGGAUGAUCAGUCACACUGGAACUGAGACACGGUCCAGGCUCCUACGGGAGGCAGCAGUGGGGAAUAUUGGACAAUGGGCGAAAGCCUGAUCCAGCCAUGCCGCGUGUGUGAAGAAGGUCUUCGGAUUGUAAAGCACUUUAAGUUGGGAGGAAGGGCAGUAAGUUAAUACCUUGCUGUUUUGACGUUACCAACAGAAUAAGCACCGGCUAACUUCGUG
rnacentral:rRNA from 1 species